rnacentral:rRNA from 1 species
AGAGUUUGAUCCUGGCUCAGAACGAACGCUGGCGGCGUGCUUAACACAUGCAAGUCGCGUGCGCAGUUGCCGUAGCAAUACGGUGAUGGGCGCACGGCGCACGGGUGCGUAACACGUGGGCAAUCUGCCCUUUGAUGGGGAAUAACCCGCCGAAAGGCGGGCUAAUUCCGCAUAAGAUUCCCGGAACUUCGGUUCUGGGAUUGAAAGCAGCAAUGCGUCGAAGGAGGAGCCCGCGCCCGAUUAGCUAGUUGGUGAGGUAAUGGCUCACCAAGGCUUUGAUCGGUAGCUGGUCUGAGAGGAUGAUCAGCCACACUGGAACUGAGACACGGUCCAGACUCCUACGGGAGGCAGCAGUGGGGAAUCUUGCACAAUGGGCGAAAGCCUGAUGCAGCGACGCCGCGUGGGGGAUGAAGCAUUUCGGUGUGUAAACCCCUUUCGACUGGGAAGAAUACCUCGCAAGAGGGGUGACGGUACCAGUAGAAGAAGCCCCGGCUAACUACGUGCCAGCAGCCGCGGUAAGACGUAGGGGGCCAGCGUUGUUCGGAAUUACUGGGUGUAAAGGGUUCGUAGGCGGUGCGGCAAGUUGGGAGUGAAAUCUCUGGGCUUAACCCAGAGGCUGCUUCCAAAACUGCUGUGCUCGAGUGUGAGAGAGGCUCGUGGAAUUGCAGGUGUAGCGGUGAAAUGCGUAGAUAUCUGCAGGAACACCCGUGGCGAAAGCGGCGAGCUGGAUCACUACUGACGCUGAGGAACGAAAGCUAGGGGAGCAAACAGGAUUAGAUACCCUAGUAGUCC